rnacentral:tRNA from 1 species
AGGAAUUUAGGUUAAUUAGACCAAUAGCCUUCAAAGCUUUAAGUAAAUACUAAUUAUUUAAUUCCUG